UACGGAGGGUGCGAGCGUUGUCCGGAAUCACUGGGCGUAAAGGGCGCGUAGGCGGCGCGGGAAGUCAUCGGUGAAAGUUCAGGGCUCAACUCUGAAUCGGCCGGUGAUACUCCCGUGCUCGAGCACUGUAGAGGCAGGUGGAAUUCCGGGUGUAGCGGUGGAAUGCGUAGAGAUCCGGAAGAACACCGGUGGCGAAGGCGGCCUGCUGGGCAGUAGCUGACGCUGAUGCGCGACAGCGUGGGGAGCAAACAGG
rnacentral:rRNA from 1 species